GUCAGAAUGGUCGAGUGGUCUAAGACGCCAGACUUAAGGUGAUAUAACCUUCUUAAGUAGUGAGAAUUGUGGUCUUCAGCUGGAGUUUGGGUUCAAAUCCAACUUUUUACA
rnacentral:tRNA from 1 species